UAGAUCUUUCUUGUAGUGUUCAAGUGUUUUUCUAAAACUAGCUACCUAGAGAAGAUUUGGUGGUGUUUUACUUCUAAGGAUUAUUGGAAGUGGAGCAAAAUACUACACUAAGGAGAGUAAAUCUUGAUGCAGGGAUAGAAAGUGAGGACGAUGGUCCUUUUACUGGUUUUGAUGGUUGAUAGACCAUCUGCUGCAGGAUUUAUGCUUACUCUAUGGAGCAAGUCUCAUUUAUGUUAAUCGCUUUUAUUAUGUAUGGUGAUGUGUGUAAACUUAAUAGAUAUUACUAUGUUAAUUUAGGUGCCGUCUGUGGCAUAUAUUUGGUACACCUAGUGUGUACAUAUGUUGUAAUGAAAACUAUGUUUCUAUUUUAUUUAAUAAUAUAUCACCUCGAGGUA